AAUUCGCCCUUAGAGUUUGAUCCUGGCUCAGGAUGAACGCUAGCUACAGGCUUAACACAUGCAAGUCGAGGGGAAACGACAUCGAAAGCUUGCUUUUGAUGGGCGUCGACCGGCGCACGGGUGAGUAACGCGUAUCCAACCUGCCCACCACUUGGGGAUAACCUUGCGAAAGUAAGACUAAUACCCAAUGAUAUCUCUAGAAGACAUCUGAAAGAGAUUAAAGAUUUAUCGGUGAUGGAUGGGGAUGCGUCUGAUUAGCUUGUUGGCGGGGUAACGGCCCACCAAGGCAACGAUCAGUAGGGGUUCUGAGAGGAAGGUCCCCCACAUUGGAACUGAGACACGGUCCAAACUCCUACGGGAGGCAGCAGUGAGGAAUAUUGGUCAAUGGACGAGAGUCUGAACCAGCCAAGUAGCGUGCAGGAUGACGGCCCUAUGGGUUGUAAACUGCUUUUAUAAGGGAAUAAAGUGAGUCUCGUGAGACUUUUUGCAUGUACCUUAUGAAUAAGGACCGGCUAAUUCCGUGCCAGCAGCCGCGGUAAUACGGAAGGUCCGGGCGUUAUCCGGAUUUAUUGGGUUUAAAGGGAGCGUACGCCGGAGAUUAAGCGUGUUGUGAAAUGUAGACGCUC
rnacentral:rRNA from 1 species